GACGAACGCUGGCGGCGUGCCUAAUACAUGCAAGUAGAACGCACAGUUUAUACCGUAGCUUGCUACACCAUAGACUGUGAGUUGCGAACGGGUGAGUAACGCGUAGGUAACCUGCCUGGUAGCGGGGGAUAACUAUUGGAAACGAUAGCUAAUACCGCAUAAUAUUAAUUAUUGCAUGAUAAUUAAUUGAAAGGUGCAAUUGCACCACUACCAGAUGGACCUGCGUUGUAUUAGCUAGUAGGUGAGGUAACGGCUCACCUAGGCGACGAUACAUAGCCGACCUGAGAGGGUGAUCGGCCACACUGGGACUGAGACACGGCCCAGACUCCUACGGGAGGCAGCAGGAGGGAAUCUUCGGCAAUGGACGAAAGUCUGACCGAGCAACGCCGCGUGAGUGAAGAAGGGUUUCGGAUCGUAAAGCUCUGUUGUAAGAGAAGAACGGGUGUGAGAGUGGAAAGUUCACACUGUGACGGUAUCUUACCAGAAAGGGACGGCUAACUACGUG
rnacentral:rRNA from 1 species